rnacentral:tRNA from 1 species
CGCGGGAUGGAGCAGUUCGGUAGCUCGUCGGGCUCAUAACCCGAAGGUCGGGGGUUCAAAUCCCUCUCCCGCAACCA